GUGACACUGCAGUCUUUCCCCCACUCCACCCCCACCUUUUUUUCCCCCUGUCUGCUGCUCUGUUUCCUAUUCAUGAUAAACACCGUAUCCAGGAGCAAAAAGGAGAAAUGAUACCACAUCUUCUGGAAUGUUCAUGUAACUGGAGGAAUGAUGGCUACUCUCUGUGAAUGGCCGCUGCAGAAAUAGCUUGUGUAAUACGUGCUGUGGGAGUACAGCCCGUCCAAAAUAUAAUGUUCAGUUUUUGUUCUAUAGAUGGAACUGUUUUUCCUUUGGGGUGCUGUUUUAAGAAUGGCUUGGGUCUAUCCAAUGGAUAUGUCUGCUGCAGCUUUUGAAGGCUUUAUGAGGCUGGAUCUUUGAUUCUCUUUUGUGCAGUUGUUGCUGAUUUUUCAUGGCUGGACUGGAUGCAGUUUUGGCCAAGCAAUAGCCCUUAGGCUCUUCAUAAGGAUGUGUUAAGGGAGUGGUUGAGUGAGAACUGGUGUCUCCUAUCACUGAUCUUGUCAACCUCAUGGUCUCUAUGAAGUUGUGUGAGAUGUGGCUGCAUCAUACAGAUUGCUUGGGUGCUAGUUUAUGUCCAGGUAGGUUGAAAGUGUCAGAGAAUGCAGUCUGGGUUCAUGUCACUACAGUCUUUUUAUUUCAGGGCUGCCUGCAUUUGUUCUGGAAAAGAUUGCACAGAUCAGAGAGGAAGGAGCAGGGAAACUGAGUACACCAUCCAGAGCCCUAAAUUUCCCUGUGUACCAUCCACCUUACUCCCAAGCUGACCUGCAGAUCGUGUCCUACAGAGUUGGGCUUCACCAGCAAUAUCCUUGUCCCUUUUCGCUUUGCUUACACAGCUGGUUUUCAAGCCCUCUUGAAAAAACAUACAUUCAAUACAAAUAUUAUCCCUGUACAUCCUCCCUCUGUUAUUUCUUGUGUGCGGGAUCAGCAGUUUGCAGACUGUAUCUCGAAUCCCGUCAGGGGCCAGAGCUGCCCACAGCCUAUGAGAAAUAUUGCCUUACAAACUCCUUCACCCGGCCAGUCCAAAGAAGUGCAAGCGGUGACUGGGAAAGGUAUAGCAGCCCUGGGAUGGGUUGUGUUCAGUCAGGCUGUAAAAAAGGCACUGGGUUCUGAGAGAGGCUUCAGUCCGUGGGGAGAGAUUGCGAGGUGUGAGGCUGCUGGCUUUGUGCAGGUUAUUACCCUUCCAUUGCUGGUUUCUAAAUGGAGUCCUGUUGCUGAGAGAGACCAGGUUUGUCUUUACUAAAAACUUAGGGGUGGGUUUUUUUCUGUUCCAUGGUAUGUAUGUAACUUUAGAUGGCCGUCUCUGUGCCUCAUCACCUCUGAGGUUUUUCUACUGAUAUUCACCUCGAGAAGCUACAAAGAGGUAAAAACUACAGUGGCUUGCCGUGUUUUUGCUGUAGUAUCUGGCUUUGAUAUAAAUCCUCAGGGUAAAAAACACCUUCCUUUUGCAGCGAAAGCAAAGGCUGAGGGAUCUUUCAUGAAACAGGCUUAGUUCCUCUGGAGGACUGAAAUCCCCAUUUUUAAGGCCUAAUUGCAUCAAGUCUCCUGUGAUAAUUUCUUAGACAGCAAGGGAAAGCGGUUGGAGCCGGCCUCCAGCAUCGAGAGGCUCGAGCCCAGCAGGUCGGUGUGGUGGCUUGAUAGGGCAACAAAGAGAUUCAAAGAACUGAGCAACAGCGAUCCUAUCCUAUGCUCUAAGAGCUUUUUUUCCCCAUCCAUUACUAACACAAAUUCCUCAGGUUGAUCAAUAUUAUAACAGCUCACUUCAAGGCAUGUUUCCUUUGCAGCUCACCUCUAUUUUUAUAACGUUCUCAUGUUGUAAAAUGCUCUGCAGUAUCAAGUUAUCACUGCUUGAGAGCAGAGGCAGCGCUCAUAAGAAGGCGUUGGUCUGACACUGGGCUGAUGUUGUCCAACACUCUGAAUUCUGGGAUCAACCAAGGCUGGACUUCCUACCUUCGUGUUGGAGCUGCCAAUAUAAGCUUUCCUUCUCAGCUAUGUCCCCCAUAUUAUGUCACAGCCCCCCGGCUCCACUUGUCACCACAUGAGGUUUGGGUUCUUGUUUCCCAAGUCUAUAGCCAUCAAAGGAUGGCUGGGCAGCUGCUGCUGUUUCCUUGCCAUGAGAAGCUGGAGCCUUGUGUGCAUUCAAGCUUUCCUGCUCCUCAGUACUUUAGAUGGCUUUACAUCUGUCAGAGCAGCAAGUGCAAUAAAACAUUUGUAAAUACCCCAGAAUGAGGAUCAUUACAGAUGGCACUGGCAUGCACCAGGCUCACGUGGAAGUCACUUUAUCACCGCAUGAAGGAAAAAGAAGAUAGGAAUGAUAAGCCUGAAGUUUUCCUGAGCCUAUGUGACGGGUAUUAGCAGCUGAAACUCGUGGGAUGUAAAUGCUGGUUGAAAUACUACAAGAUCAUGUUUUCCUUUGGUGAACAGGCCAAGAAGAUUGCUGAUCACCAUUUUUACAGAUGCUGUCUGUCAAACCAUGCUAGAAGAGCUCAGAGUGCUUCACAUUGCACUUCAUGCCUGAGCAGAGAAGGGGGAAGUAACAGCUACAAGGCUGUGCAGGUCCCCUGGGCACUCACCUGUAAAGACACUCCAGGGGGACAAAUUCAUGCCUUUCUUCUGUCAUACCUGCGCCGGAGGACAGAUCUUUACCAGGUCAAGUCAACUCUCCUUGACCCACGUCUGAACCAAAAUACAUUCCCAGAAGAUUCCCCCACAGGAUAUCGGAUCCAAAGACAGAGUGACAUUGUAAUGAGUUCAAGGUUUCAGUUCAGUACAACAGAGUCCCUGUUGGUGCGGGGAAGGCAGCCGAGCCAUCCUUCUUGUCUUAGAGCUGGGACCUCUCACGGGGCUUUUCAGAGCAGGUUUUGUCAUCCACUGGUCGCUGCUCUUCAUAGAACAAUGUCAUUGAUUGCAGUGCUGCUAUUUGUACUCUCCUGACCGGUCCCAGUUCCGUGCAUUCCUAGGUGGUAAGCAAGCCCCUCCCAUAAACCUUUCUUCUGGAUCAAGUUGAGUUCCCUGUGCUUGAGCUGGGUAAGACUCUGAUGUGGUUAAACUCACCUGUAUUGAAUUGUGGUGCAAGGGCUGUUCAACAGUCAUUGUUACUUGUGUUGGUAAGUUUGGAUAUGUUUUAUUCUUGUUUUUCCAGAAUAAGCUAGGAUAAAAUAUUUUGGAUAGCAAGUCAUCGUAGAGAAAGGUCAUGGUCGUGAACAGUUAACUUGUAUGCUUGUUAAAGGCCCUUCCGUAGCUACUGUGAGAGCAGCUGUACAGCAGAACAACACUGAAUGUGUUUGGGAUGAUUGGACCUGUGCUUAUGGUGCUGUGUGAAGUUGAUCUGAGCCAGUCUUGAAAAUAGAGGCAUGUAAAUUGGAGGUAUUUGGGAGCGCAGAUUUGCUUUUUGGCUAAUGCAGGCAAUUAUAUUUAGGUAGACGGAGUUAAAAGGAACCAACAAAUUAUCCAACAGACGUCAAACCUGUGGAGAACACUGUUGUAGCGUGUUUGUUGUCUCACUUGCCAUUGGUGUUUGCUAGCAGGCUAGACAGCGUUCACAAUGGCCCAGUAAAAAAUUACCCUUUGUGUUGGUUUACUUAACAUUUCAAGGAACUGCGGCUCAAUUGGGAUGACCUUCUUUCUCAGCUCCCAUGCAUGGGCUUAGCUCCAGUAACUCCAGUCAGGCUAUGCUGAUUUUCGGCAGCUGGGACUUGGACCUUGCUUUUUAUGUCCCUUCUUCAGUGCUCGUGUAGUCAGUUUUCCUUGCCAAGAUUAUAUUUGCUUUCUUUCCUAAAGGACUGCUCUAAAUAUCAUGCUUUAAAACGACAUGUCUUUUUUGUCCCCACAGAGAACAAUAUGAUAUGCCACUGUUGAAUUAAUAUGUCUAUGAAAAGUGAAUAUAAUCUCCCCAGUAGAUCCCCUUUCCAAAAGAUUUAUGAUUUAAUGAAUUUUUUAUUCCUUACCGGUGUGUAGCAUUCAGUCAUUUUACACCUAGCAGGAGUUUUUCCCAAGGAAGCAGGGGAAGGCAGAGGGGGGGGGGUUCCACCAUCCUCAUUCAGAUCCUUUUUCCCCCUUUCUGCUCUGCUGUGCCACUUGUAAUGCUUGUUGCUGCUGCAAAGUCAAACCCAACUUUCUUUACCAUGGCUUCUAUCAGAAUCUACCCUUAACACAUGCAGGUUGUGGUGCUGGUCUGGGACAGUGCGAUGUGGAGAGAAAUUUGGUACAGUGCUUAUAUAAGAAUCAAUGCCUCUGAAGUCUCUGUUGCUAUCUGCUUGACUGCUCUAGGCAGGAUUUCUUGCUCGAAGCCCUACUCUAUCUUCCUUGUGGUCACGGUCCAGCGCGUUUUCAAAUGAACUGCUAUAAUGCAUCUGACAGUAGGUUAUGAAGCCGCAGAUAACAUCCAUAGGUAACACCUUUAUUUAGUGGAAGAGAAGCAAAGCAGAAGUGAGCUGUGAAGAAGAGAGCUGUUAUAGACAAUUAUUAGCUGUGUGGGUAAUACUCCUAAUUAUGCCGCCAAUUGAUUUCUCCUGAAAGCUCCUUUUGCCUUGAAACUGGUGAAUUGAUUGCUCUGCUGGCCCUUCCCUUGGCUGCUAGGAUGCCUGCUGUACCUGUGCUUGGCUUUUGGGAAACUUGCUGGGAUCAGCGGCUGCAAAUCCUGCUGGGAUCGACAGAAAGUGCUGGCAGGGUGGCUGGGCAAGGGGCACUGGCAUUAACCUCUCUCAUGCUGUGUCUUCAGAGGAGAAAGACAAAGAGCAGCUACAAUCCUGGGUGGCCCCAUUGAUUGAGACACAUGUGAAGCGGUGCGUGCUUUAUAUUGUCUCCCUGAAUCAGCACUGUUCAUCAUCACUUGUCAAGAGGUAAAUGCUAAAGGCAGUAUCCUUUCUGCAUGGAAAACACCCAUCUCCAGCUGCAGGUUUUCACAGGCCUAUUGGUGUACGGUUCUUCGUACUUCUGAUGCUGUAACAUCCUAAGAAGCUCAGUGUGAGCACAACAACCCAGAGCACACUGCCUGUCCCACCCAGCACCACCAGCACAUGCCUGGCUGGGCAUUAAAUAACUUAAUCAUUUUCUGUUGAAGGGGAAGCAAAACCGGACAGUGCCACGGUCACGGCCUGCUGGAUGUUCCCUUCUUGUUUCCUGCCAUUUCACAGAGGUGGCUCCAGAUGUCUUGCAGGGCGAGGAACGUGACUGGCAAAGGACAGAGAACCCUCAUGAAGGAGGGAGGAAAUGAGUGCUGCGUUUCCAUCCAGCAGCCCGUUGGCACUGGCUCCUGGGACCUCAGGAAGCUUUUUACCUUUGUGCAAUUGAUGUAUCACAGCCUGAUUUCCUGCAGGCGCCUGUCUGUUCAGCUAUCCCUGGCUUUGUCAUCUCGACGUGGGUGUUUGCACUCCUGGCCAGCACAUUGUUCUCUGCCUGUGCAUGAUGCUGCUGCCUUCAGACACGCUCGGUGAUGCUGCUUCCGUCUCACUUUGGCUGCAUGCAGAUCCUCUCUUAGGCAAUGGAGAAACCUUUCCCAACAUCCCUGUUUGACAUGCUAUUCUAAUGCUCCCCUUCCCAACAUUCGCAUGUACUUUGCCAUAUUGGCUUUCUCUCCCCCCCCC